UUGGCUCUGUUUGCGGUCACAGCUUCUAAUAUCAUCUUCUUUUUUCUCUGCUCUGCAUUUUUGGCAAAUUGGCUGCAGUGCAGGCAGUUAUUAAGAAGACCUUUGCUAUUCAUAGUUACAAGUGAGGAUUGAAAAGACAGACAUGAGGCUCAUAGUUAAAAUUAAAUGAAAUUAGUAAACUUUGAUUUAGUGGAAAUACCAGCAAGAGAAGAUAAUAAAGAAUUAGAAGUGUUGGUGGAAGAAAUUUAAGAAGUUUGUGGCAUUAAUUGUGUUUUGACUUUGGGCACUGUGAACGUGUAUGUUUGUGCAAUAUUCAGUAAAGAAGUUUUUGUGACACAAAAUCUCGACAGCAAUCUGCGAAUUCCAUUACCAUACACAACAAGGCCCUUUUGCUUCACUUGAAUACGGCAGGAGAAAAGGCCGACAGUUGGUGUGAUUAGAGUGUCAAAUCCCGCCAGUGAUUAUUAAACCGUUGACAAGUGCUGCCCUCCACAGAGGUUAUUGUACAGGAGUGGUGUGAGGGGUGUUCGUUUCUUUUGGUUAACGGUCACGAAGAGGAAUCCAAUCGCUGACGGAAGACAAAGAUCUUGUUUUUUUGGUUGUCAAAUGCUUUGGUGCCGAGUGUCUUAAGCAAUUACAACGGUGUUACCAGACGGUUUCUAGAAAACCUGGAAAUUUUUAUUUGUCGAGAGAAUACACGGGACAAAUUAAAAACAAUAUUUUGGAGAUAUUUUGUUGAAAAUGAAUACCCAAAUGUAUUUAACCACAUAGAACGAAAAAGAUGUUAAUUUGAAAGUGCGAAUUACUUCCAAGGAAGCCUUUUAAUUUCAUUGUUUGUUGGAUCAUAGUCAGAUAACAAAAACAAAGCAUUGUUUCCAUUGCACCAGCGCCUGCAUUUUGUGCUGGUAUUCAAAGGCACUAAAGUUUUUUUCUCAAUUCUUUAUUUAUAUUGCUUUGUCAUAUUUGGAGGCAAGAGGUUUGAGUGAGUUCUUAAGGAAAAUUAUUGGCAUUAGGAUUUGUGGAGGCUUGAUAGGAACCAGGAGACUAAGACAAGAUAUAAACAACGAUUGGAUCAUUUCGACACUGUGGAUAGUGUUACCGUCAAUUUUAUCACAUCAAGGCAUACGUUCAAGAGCAUCACUAACACCACCAUCAUAAUUGUGAGGAAGAUUACUGGCUUAGAUAGAACGAUAGCCAUUUACAUUACACAUAGUGGCAGGAGGCUGGUGAGUCUUUUUUUCUCUUUUGUUUAUUUGGGGAAACGUAUACACUCUAUCGUAAAAGCGAUACCAUUUAUUGCAAUAGUAUCGUAUGUUGUUACUUGCAAAUAAUACAGUAGGACACACCUGUACAAACUAUCUCGGACAAAUUACGCCCGAAUACAUUGAAGUUUUGCAUGAUAUUUUUAAAUUCUUACAAUAACAAGACAAUGGAGCUCGACUAGAGAAGUUGUCGUAACUGGAAACCAUUUUUUAAUGAAAAAAGAUAAAUUUGUUAAGCUGUAUGAUGACAUAUUAAAUUAAUUAGUUAUCAAAUCGAAUAUAUAUAUACAUUGAAUAUACUUGAAUAAAUUGUGCCCAGCACAAAUAUA